rnacentral:rRNA from 2 species
GUAAUUUGUAGAGGAUGCUUCUAGGCAGCGGCCGGUCUAAGUUCCUUGGAACAGGACGUCACAGAGGGUGAGAAUCCCGUAUGUGACCGGUUAGCACCUUACACGUAGCUCCUUCGACGAGUCGAGUUGUUUGGGAAUGCAGCUCUAAAUGGGAGGUAAAUUUCUUCUAAAGCUAAAUAUCGGCCAGAGACCGAUAGCGCACAAGUAGAGUGAUCGAAAGAUGAAAAGCACUUUGGAAAGAGAGUUAAAAAGCACGUGAAAUUGUUGAAAGGGAAGCGCUUGCAACCAGACUUGUUGGCGGUGUUCCGCCGGUCUUCUGACCGGUCUACUCGCCGCCCGCAGGCCAGCGUCGUCUGGGACCGCCGGAUAAAGGUGGUGGGAAUGUAGCUCCUCGGAGUGUUAUAGCCCAUCGCACAAUACGGCGCGCCCCGGGCGAGGUCCGCGCUUCGGCAAGGACGCUGGCGUAAUGGUUGUAAGCGGCCCGUCUUGAAACACGGACCAAGGAGUCGAUCAAUUGUGCGAGUGUUCGGGUGGAAAACCCUUGCGCGUAAUGAAAGUGAACGGAGGCGAGAACCCUCGGGUGCAUCGUCGACCGAUCCUGAUGUCUUCGGAUGGAUUUGAGUAAGAGCAUAGCUGAUCGGACCCGAAAGAUGGUGAACUAUGCCUAAAUAGAAUGAAGCCAGAGGAAACUCUGGUGGAAGUUCGCAGCGGUUCUGACGUGCAAAUCGAUCGUCAAAUUUGGGUAUAGGGGCGAA